rnacentral:SRP_RNA from 1 species
GCCAGGCGUGGUGGCUCACGCCUGUAAUCCCAGCACUUUGGGAGGCCAAGGCGGGUGGAUCACCUGAGGUCAGGAGUUCAAGACCAGCCUGACCAACAUGGUGAAACCCCGUCUCUA